AUUGAACGCUGGCGGCAUGCUUUACACAUGCAAGUCGAACGGUAACAGCACUUCGGUGGCUGACGAGUGGCGAACGGGUGAGUAAUACAUCGGAACGUGCCUAGUAGUGGGGGAUAACUACUCGAAAGAGUAGCUAAUACCGCAUGAGAUCUAAGGAUGAAAGCAGGGGACCUUCGGGCCUUGCGCUACUAGAGCGGCUGAUGGCAGAUUAGGUAGUUGGUGGGAUAAAAGCUUACCAAGCCGACGAUCUGUAGCUGGUCUGAGAGGACGACCAGCCACACUGGGACUGAGACACGGCCCAGACUCUUACGGGAGGCAGCAGUGGGGAAUUUUGGACAAUGGGCGCAAGCCUGAUCCAGCAAUGCCGCGUGCAGGAUGAAGGCCUUCGGGUUGUAAACUGCUUUUGUACGGAACGAAAAGCCCUCUUCUAAUACAGGAGGGUCAUGACGGUACCGUAAGAAUAAGCACCGGCUAACUACGUG
rnacentral:rRNA from 1 species